GACGAACGCUGGCGGCGUGCUUAACACAUGCAAGUCGAACGGAGUGGCGAACGGGUGAGUAACACGCGGGUGAUCUGCCUUGCACUUCGCGAUAAGCUUGGGAAACUGGGUCUAAUACCGGAUAGUGCAAGAUGAGCUCGCGGCCUAUCAGCUUGUUCGGGGGGUAAUGGCCUACCAAGGCGUCGACCGGUAGCCGGCCUGGAAGGGUGUACGGCCACAUUGGGACUGAGGUACGGCCCAGACUCCGACGGGAGGCAGCAGGAGGGAAUAUUGCACAAUGGGCGGAAGUCUGACGGAGCAACGCCGCGUGGGGGAUGAAGGCCUUCGGGUUGUAAGCGCCUUUCGACAGGGACGCGGUACCUGUAUAAGAAGCACCGGCGAACUACGUGCCAGCAGCCGCGGUAAUUC
rnacentral:rRNA from 1 species